rnacentral:rRNA from 1 species
UGGGGAAUAUUGCACAAUGGGCGCAAGCCUGAUGCAGCCAUGCCGCGUGUGUGAAGAAGGCCUUCGGGUUGUAAAGCACUUUCAGCGGGGAGGAAGGCGAUAAGGUUAAUAACCUCAUCGAUUGACGUUACCCGCAGAAGAAGCACCGGCUAACUCCGUGCCAGCAGCCGCGGUAAUACGGAGGGUGCAAGCGUUAAUCGGAAUUACUGGGCGUAAAGCGCACGCAGGCGGUCUGUCAAGUCGGAUGUGAAAUCCCCGGGCUCAACCUGGGAACUGCAUUCGAAACUGGCAGGCUAGAGUCUUGUAGGGGGGGGUAGAAUUCCAGGUGUAGCGGUGAAAUGCGUAGAGAUCUGGAGGAAUACCGGUGGCGAAGGCGGCCCCCUGGACAAAGACUGACGCUCAGGUGCGAAAGCGUGGGGAGCAAACAGG